rnacentral:rRNA from 1 species
AGUGAACGCUGGCGGUAGGCCUAACACAUGCAAGUCGAACGGCAGCACAGGAGAGCUUGCUCUCUGGGUGGCGAGUGGCGGACGGGUGAGGAAUACAUCGGAAUCUACUCUGUCGUGGGGGAUAACGUAGGGAAACUUACGCUAAUACCGCAUACGACCUACGGGUGAAAGCAGGGGACCUUCCGGCCUUGCGCGAAUGAAUGAGCCGAUUGCGGGUUAGCUAGUUGGCGGGGUAAAGGACCACCAAGGCGACGAUCCGUAGCUGGUCUGAGAGGAUGAUCAGCCACACUGGAACUGAGACACGGUCCAGACUCCUACGGGAGGCAGCAGUGGGGAAUAUUGGACAAUGGGCGCAAGCCUGAUCCAGCCAUACCGCGUGGGUGAAGAAGGCCUUCGGGUUGUAAAGCCCUUUUGUUGGGAAAGAAAUCCAGCUGGCUAAUACCCGGUUGGGAUGACGGUACCCAAAGAAUAAGCACCGGCUAACUUCGUGCCAGCAGCCGCAGUAA